AGACUUGUCCACAUUAGGCCAGAUCACAGAGAAAUGGUAAAAGUCCGGCAGAGGAAUUCGGACUUCACUCAGGAGUUCCUGCUGGUUCUGAAGCAGGAAAAUGAGAAGUGGCCUCAGGGAAUUAGAAAGGUCAGUCUGGGUAAAUUUAAGAAGAAAGUGAAGAGGCUACGUUGUGUGGGGUGAAUACCCAUGGUUCAUUGUCUCGCACCAAGAAAAUUUAGGAUAGGGACACACAUGAGGAGUUUAGGAGUGGAAGUUUAAUAUGCAAAAGAAAAAGAAAGGAGAAAGGAAACCAGCUCUCUCUAGGGAGAGAGAGGGGCUUCCCAGAGGAAAGACUGGCUGGCAGUGGACUCACAGGAUUUUAUAGUCAGGCUUGAGAAGGCAUUGUCUGAUUUACAUAGGGCUCACAGAUUGGUUCAGUCAGGCGUGAUGUUUACAUAGUGCAGGGGAAGGCUGGUGGGCCCCACCCUAAUCUUAUUAUGCAAAUCAACUUUACCCUUGGCCCGAGCCAUGUUGUCUGCUCCUUACUGUACAUAUGGCUGGCAGAGAAGGGAGAAGGGAGCCACCAUUCUGAACAUGAUUGGCACAACUGCCGGCAUCUAUGUCUGCAGCUUGAUUUUACAGGCUGCUGUUUGUUAGAAAGGAAAAUGAUUUGGGGCUGCUUUUCAUUAAAAGGAAAACCUUACCGAGGACUUCCAUACCCUCACUAUCUGCCUAAGUAAUUUCUUCUUAACUCCUCUAUCAAAAGUGACUGGAGAAAAGGCUGCAGUCAGGAAAGCUUGGAGGCAGCAAGCAGGAUGCGGCUUAAGAGGCUGUGCAGGCCUUGAAGUCAGCCAGACGGCAGGGUGGAGGCCCAGCUUCACCAUUGCGGUCACUUGCUUCUUGGGCAGUCAUCCUGUGUGCUUAGCUUGAUUAUCUGUAAAACAGGGUUGAGAAUCAUCCCUGCCUUACAUGGCCAUUACUACCAACUAAGAAGGAUUUGAAUUAGCAUCAUAGCAGGAUCCACUGGUGUUGAUGAAUGGAGUAAUCCACAAGCCGGAGGAUCUGGUGGAAACAUCGGUGCUCACACAUCACAUUCCGGUAG
rnacentral:lncRNA from 10 species